UCUCCCAUAGCCGCAUCUCGCCUGCAUGCGGGGCGCUACCUCUCUGUCGCAAGGGCACUGACCCAAUGACAUCGGCGUCCAUCCUCCAUGGUGCAAGUGCUGUUGGUGGUAAGCGCGGCGACCGUGCUGAGUAGGAUGGGGCCUAAUUUUGCCAUGGGCAACGCCGCCGCGCUGGGCUGACCAGGGCUCGGCUGCUUGCUGCAUCACCUCGGGUAAGUUCUAGUUCUAUCGCCGUGCAAGGGCACAAGCAUAUUGGUGAGUUGUACCCCUGUCCUCUAUCCUCUGCCCUUCAAAUCUCUUCUUUUCCUGCAAUCUUAUUUGAUUUAGUACAGGCUUCAGAUCUUGCUAAUUACUUCGAAUCUCUCUCGAUUUGGUACUCUACUAGAUGCUAAUGUCUUGUGAAUCAUUGGUGCUUUUGCAGUAGGUACAGGUGUUGAUUCGGGAAAAUAGAAGGCAAGUAAUUUCCCUAAAUCCAUGUCCUCCGU
rnacentral:lncRNA from 1 species